rnacentral:lncRNA from 1 species
AAAGAUAUGGUAGUGUGCUCGAUGGGAGUGAACAGAGUAGGGCAGUCCCACAUAGAUUUUGUUGGGGAACGGAUUUAAAAGUAUGGAAAUCACACCCCUUUUUUUUAGGUUUCUAGGAUUUUUGAGUUUCGGGCUAGGUGGGUUUCUUCUUUUGGUUGGUUUUGCCACUCCAAAUGGCUCUCGUUCCACACUUUUUGAUUCACGUUCAGCAUUUCUCUACUUAGGCCUAUGUUUGGUGGCUGGGAAUUUAUAAGAAACUGAUUUUAGGAUCUGGGUAUUUGGUUAUAUGAGAUGAUCUUAAGAACUGUUUGAGGUUUCUACAAACUGCCUUGCAUUUUCAUAUUAUAAACCCAACACCUCUGGUUUGUUGGAAAUGAGUUUGAAAAAAUAAUAAUUGAGCAACUUGGGGCUUAAUUAAAAGUGUGACCCACAUUCCGAAAAUGUCGGGACCAUGCACCAACGCGUUCUCCUCCGUAAGAGUAUAACGUGGUAUAUUUAUUUGUUCAAAUCCAUUAAGUAUUGAAUGAGAAAAUUGACUCCAAAGUCACCCACUUGAAAUUAUAUAUUUAAGGAAACUUGGUAUAAACUUACCAUAAACACUUUAUCCCACGUAGGAAGGAAGUGUGAGGGGAAUGUGAAGAGUUUAUAUAUUGAAUUUUUGCACUAUAGGAACGGCCCAAGGGGCACCCUAAGUUUGUAAAGGGGAGGACCUACAUGGGUGUAGGCUUGUGUGGGUUUAACCCACACGGGCGCAGCCGCCCGGGCCCAUGGGUCUUGGGCUUGGGCUUGCUAUAUAUAUAUAUAAUUUUUGGGCAAAAAUCAUUUAAGUUUCUGGGUCGGGGUUAUCCGUUGGCUUUUCAUAAUUAAGAUUCAUUGUUAGAGUGUGCCUAUUCCGAACAGGUUCAUGACUAUUCCAAACAGGUACGUGUCUAUUCCGAAUAGGUUUAUACCUAUUCUAAACAGACACUAGGAAGUCUAUAAAUAGACUUUCUACCUCGGCAUUAAUAAAAUAAAAAAAAAAUUCAAUCAAUUCCUGCAUAUUUCUCUCUCUCCUCUUUGCAUCCUUUGUCAGUUCGAGUACAAAAUACAAGUUGUGUUCGUGGUGUUCUACAGAUUGAAGUGCUGCUUUUGUAGAACUGAAAAUCCGUUCUAUCUUGGGAGACAUUUAUUCACUACUUGAGCACCAGAGAGGGAAUAAAAUUGUCUUAAAGAAACAGUGUUGUCAUUGGGCUCGAAUUCAUAGAAUUAAAGUAAGUUCUGUAAUUUCAUUUAUUUUAUUUACAUACUUAUUUAAUGUUUACUUAAAGUAUAAACUGUAAAAAGAUUUUAUUGUUAACAUGGUUUGCUUUUUGCAUCUACUCCCCUUCAUUUUUAUGUAAUUCACCAUUCUCUUCCUCUACAAAGAAUCAAACAUGGCAUUCACAAUUUGAAAAGCUUGACCCAUCAAAAACAAUACAUCGAGGCCCUCAAACGCACCACACAAGAGCCACGUGUCAUCCUUUUUCUUUUUUCUUUUUCCUUCUUUUGAUAUUAAAAUUUUAUUUAUUUUUUAUUUUUUAUUUCUCCAUUCUCCAAUAAUUCAUCAAAAUUCCAAUUUUUAAAUUUAAUUUUC